CUCCUCCCCUCCCCCAUCUCCUGACCUCCCACUGUCGUUUCCCCGUUGUUAUCCCCGUCCUCCCUGUUUAGCUUGUUUUUGUUUUCUGAUUUCUUGACCCAGAGAUCCGGCUCUUGUGGCGUUGCUCAUCCGUGAUGUCCGCCGUUUUCUCCUGGUUCAAGUCGGAGCAAGGAAAGCGGCGUGUGGUGGGCGGCCCAGCGGUGGACGUCGAUGCGGCUGAAUAAGGGAGAUGUGUUCCGGGAUAUCUGGUGGGUGAUGGUGGUGGGCAAAUAACUCGGCGCCUAUUGAGGAAUGGUCCGAUGUUGGCGGUCUUUGUGUCUUUGGUUGUCUGUUUUGGGGCUGGUGGGUUUCGGUGGUGUUGUUGGGGUUGGUGGUGAUCCGGUGGUGUUUCUUUUGGGCUGCGCAGCAGUUUCGGCUGGAAGAAGACUGGUCUUCGGUCGCCGUGGUCUGGUGGUGUUCAAUGCUCAUCUUGUUCAGGCCGGUGCCCCGUGUGGUUUGUCCAUGAGACCUAUUAAAUUUUAGUUGAUUUGUUGUUUUGCCUUCAGAUUUCAGCGAUGCUUAUUUGUUUAGGGUUUGAGCUGUGGAUAUCUUUAGAUCCUCUGUUAUCUAGACCGAGAUUGGCUUUUAUGUACCGGCGUUAUUGCGGGGCCUGCUUCGGCAGUAAGAGCUUGAGAUCGACAUUUAUGUUACUUUGGUUCUUUCCUGUAUUUGUUCUGGAAUCUGUUUGCCCGAUGGGCUUGUGUUGAAUGAAUGACUCUUUUCAAAAAAAAAAAAAACUAUUUUUCCUAGU